GCUUGCUCUCGCUGACGAGCGGCGGACGGGUGAGUAACGCGUAGGAAUCUGCCCAAUAGUGGGGGAUAGCCCGGGGAAACUCGGAUUAAUACCGCAUACGCCCUACGGGGGAAAGCAGGGGAUCUUCGGACCUUGCACUAUUGGAUGAGCCUGCGUUGGAUUAGCUAGUUGGUAGGGUAAAGGCCUACCAAGGCGACGAUCAGUCGCUGGUCUGAGAGGGCGACCGGCCACACUGGGACUGAGACACGGCCCAGACUCC
rnacentral:rRNA from 1 species